rnacentral:lncRNA from 1 species
AAGAAAGGGUAAGAGUUAUGUUAUGUUUAUGCUAUUGUUAAUGAAAGUGGCAAAUAGUUCCCACUGGUUCAUGUUGUAAGAAGUGGGCAACAGGUGGCCACAAGGGAACCAUACAAAGUGGUGAACAAAAGCCAGGAAUUUUAUAUCCUUAAAUCCUUAAGGAACCAACCAUUUCCCUUCACUUGUCACUCUGAAUCAGUGAACAAGGUCCUACUUAUUACUAAACUGAAUUUCUUGGCUCAAAUUUUAGAUAUUUUUCAGAUCAACAUUUUUUUUACACAAUGCAUAUUUCUAUCAAUAAUUUCCAAACAAUUAAAUUACAAUAUAAACACAUUCAAAUUCACUUUUGGAUUUCCUGAUUAGGGACACUGAUUUUGUCUAGAAAAUGACAAGCUUAAUGGGCUUCUAAAGUGUUUCAUACAGCCCAUAGUCAAGAAAAAGCUCAACCCUAUAUGUUAGAAUUAGAUGGAUAAGAAUAAGAAUAACCUAACUUUGACUUCAGUAAUUAAUUUACCGCUCCAAUUGUGCACUGGGGGAAAAAAGUUUUUGAAGCACCUAUCUAGAAAAUGACAACUUCCAAUUCCAGUUUUUCAUAGGAAAACUUGGUCUACAAUAUGACAACUUAAUAUUCAAUUUCAAAUGCAUUUAUAUCCCUAUGUUAUGGCGUUACCAAACUUCAUGUGAAUGUCAUUUACAAUGAUUUCUUAAAUAUAUUAUAUUUAAUUUCAAAAUAUAUUAUAUUUAUGUAUCAGAGGUUUAAUUAUUAAAUUAUGUCAUAGAAUGAAAAUUUAAUUUUUUAUAAAAUAUAUAAUGUUAAAAGAAAGUGCUUUUGAACCACAUGGUUAGAUGAGAUGGUAAAGGCCUCUCCUACUUUAAUUAGUGGUCAAGAGUUUGAUCAUCGCCGUAGGUAUGGAAUAACUUUAAAACUUGUAGUCAGUGUCUAUCCCUUUAAUGGGCCUACAAAACGUGAGAAUUGAUUAUCAGACUCACUUUAGUGAGUAUCUUGGGAGACCAAAAAAAAAACUCUUGUGUCUCCAGGACUAUUAGGGUAUCUAAUCUCAUUCGCUCUCCUAGCUUUCGUCUCUUAGUGUUAGUGUCGGCCCAGCAGUGUGCUUUCGUCGUUGGUGUUCUUUCCGAUCUCUACGCAUUUCACUGCUCCACCGAAAAUUCCCUCUACCCCUACCGUACUCCAACUUGGUAGUUUCCACCGCCUGUCUAGGGCUCAACCCUAUAGGAAAAUAAAAUAAUUCAACUAUUUCUUGGUCCAGAAAGAUAAAAACCUUUGUUCUUUUUUUUUUUUGAAAAAAAUGGAAGUAUUGUUGAGUGUUAGAGCUUCAGUAAUUGCAUUAGUACUGACUUGUUGUCACUUUUAUAUUAUUUAUAUCUUUUAAAAUUACCUUAGUCGAUACUUGUGUUAAACAUGGCUUAUGAUUAUGGUUAUGGGAAAUAUGAAAAUCAUAUCAUAUCCAUGUACUCUAUCCGACGCUUAGUUCAAAGCGUCUUCCAUAGUAUCAUCUUUUAGCCAUGGAUCAUAACUUUCAUGAUAAUUUUCAAACCUAAAUAUGUUUCUUUCAUAAAAUUGAAAGGGUUAAUUUAGUAAGAAAUGGCGGAAAGUAAAAACCAUGAGCCCAAUAUUCUUACAUAAUUCAUCAAAGUGACAAUCCAGACUCUUCACCCUCUUCAAGACUAGAAACAUAGAAAAAAUACAAUGCCCAAAUCAAACCAAACACUCCAAAAAGGAUUCAUCCCAGAAGGUUGUUACUUAAGCCAAAAGGAAGUCCUGUUCCUUCCGUGGAAAGGCUCUCAUCCACCAACGCCAUUGCCGGUGUAGCAGUCGUUGUCACCGCUGCAGCUGCCACUGCCGCCAUCAUUGAUGCCACCAUUCUGGGGUUCGAGCUCAGCCUGUUUGAAGAUGACUUCUGCUCUAGACUGCACCUAGCCCUACCAUUUGUUGCCAUCACAGGCAAUCCUAAACAUGCAUGAGAAUGUAAAAUCCAGUUUUAAAGACAAAGCAAAUACCCAUUGAAGUAUAAAAUACACCUGCAUCUUUGAUUUCCAGUUCUUGAAUCAUCCGAUAUCGCAAUUUAGGCUUAAGAAAAUUGGAAACUUACCAAGAACUUUGGAUGAUUGAACUUUGUUUGAACCCUUCAAAGUUGCCUUAGUCAACACUACAGCAAAGUUGCUAACAGUUAUGGUGGCCAUUUCUUUGAAAUUAAAAAAAAUCAAAAAGAAAAACUAGAAGAAAAAAAAAGAAAGGGUAAGAGUUAUGUUAUGUUUAUGCUAUUGUUAAUGAAAGUGGCAAAUAGUUCCCACUGGUUCAUGUUGUAAGAAUAGGGCAACAGGUGGCCACAAGGGAACCAUACAAAGUGGUGAACAAAAGCCAGGAAUUUUAUAUCCUUAAAUCCUUAAGGAACCAACCAUUUCCCUUCACUUGUCACUCUGAAUCAGUGAACAAGGUCCUACUUAUUAGUAAACUGAAUUUCUUGGCUCAAAUUUCAGAUAUUUUUCAGAUCAACAAUUUUUUUUUACACAAUGCAUAUUUCUAUCAAUAAUUUCCAAACAAUUAAAUUACAAUAUAAACACAUUCAAAUUCACUUUUGGAUUUCCU